rnacentral:lncRNA from 1 species
AUGGAGUCACAGAUUCCCAGAGGUUGUCCCCCAGGCUGUAAAUUCCACACCCUACGACGAGGAGUCCUCCUCACCCCCUACAGGAUGCUCUGCUUCCUCCUUAUGUCGGACUCUCCCGUUCUUCAUCUCCUUCAUGACCCUGAACUCCAGCGGUUACUAUGGAGGGAAACUGGGCCCAGAGAGCCAUGGGAUGGUACUCAACAUGUCACGGACCGUUGCUGGAGGUGCCAGGACAGGACUGCAGGAGGGGACAGUGUGAGAUCUCAGACCUUAAAACCAGAGAGAGAGGCGGCCUCCAUUCUUUUUUGGGGAAAAUAAGAAUUUGGGGACUAUGAGUUUAAAAUGUGCCAGGAUCUCUUCCUGAAGAAAAACUUGGUCUCAGAUUCAAAAUAUAAAACCAACAGGCGGAGACACGCAGGGAGGGCAGACUCGGAGAAGCAUUGGAAUUCCCAGGUGUCCUUUGGGUGCCAAACAAAGAAACAAGCGAUAAAACCACACUGCUCUGCCCACAUUGUAUUCCCAAGAACCAACUCUGCCUUUUUUACAGAAGCCUGAGCUUCUGUAGUUUAAAAGUAAAAUAGCCAUGCCCAGUGGUGUAGCAGUUAAGUUUGUGCACUCCAUUUUGGUGGCCCAGGGUUCAUGGGUUCAGAUCCUGGCUGUGAACCUAGCACCACUCAUCAAGCCAUAGUGUGGUGGCAGUCCUGCAUACAAAAUAGAAGAAGAUUGGCACCGAUGUUAGCUCAGGGCCAAUCUUCCUCAGCAAAAAAAAAAAAAAAAAAAGUAAAAUAGCCCAGUAAAGACAGCCUCUUAGUUUGAUGUGAUCAACACAUAGGGAAGGUGAUUCCUAUCAGUUCACCCUGGAAAGACACUACAUGAAUUUUAUACCAGAACCUGCAUGUGGCUGCGCAGCCCAGAGCUGGGGAAGGAGUGUGUGUCUCUCCAUCAGGUCGACUUCACCUGGGGGACCCAGAGGCCUCAUUUCUCCACUUGUAUCAGUCAGUCGGGGUAACGUUAGCUGCUGUAACAAACAAGCUCGAAAAUGUGAAACGGCUCAAACAAUGACAGAAGUUGAUUGUUGCUCGUGGAAAGUCGUGGUUUUUCUUGAUCAGCCGGUGGUUUUCCUCAAGGUGUGACUCAGAAACCCGGGUUCCUGCCACCGCCUGGCUCCUCCAUCUCCAACGCUUGGCUUCCAAGGUGGCCCCAGGGGUCGUCUCUGUUCCAGUCGGCUUGAAAGAGAGAAGUGAAUAGAGGGUGAUGGUGGGAGGCUUUAACCGGCCAGCCCGGGUAGUGUGCACGUCCUUUCCAGUCAUGUCCUGUUGCUUAGAACUCAGUCACGUGGUCACACCUAAUGGAAGGGAGGCUGGGGGUGUUGUGCAGAGCUGUGCAUAGCGGCACAAGGAAACAGUCCUGCAGGACCACCAGCCUCUGCUGGUCUUCAUAGUCCUGAAAUAGUAAUAAUAAGAUGCAACUACAGGGGCCGGCCCAGUGGCGCAGCAGUUAAGUGCGCAUGUUCUGCUUCUUGGCAGCCUGGGGUUCGCCGGUUCAGAUCCCGGGUGCGGACAUGGCACCGCUUGGCAAGCCAUGCUGUGGCAGGCGUCCCACAUAUGAAGUGGAGGAAGAUGGGCACGGGUGUGAGCUCAGGGCCAGUCUUCCUCAGCAAAAAGAGGAGGAUUGGUGGCAGAUGUUAGCUCAGGGCCAAUCUUCCUCAGGAAAAAAAAAAAGAUGCAACUACAAAAAUAGGAAAAUGGUGGUGGUGUGGUGAACUGUGAUGUUGGUCUAGCCAGCAUCCUUCUUCCAGCAGCUCCAGCCUUCAUGUUCCUCAGGAAACCACGCCUCUCGCUGUCUCUUCCAUGUGAUUCCCACGGCACUGACUCCAUUUCCGUCCCUGGGUCAGCACACGACCCACGCACAGUCAAGCAACGCUCAAGCUGGGACUUUUCCUGGAGUGACUGAGACACGGAGGCUGUCUUUCCUCUUCAUACUGGAUGAAUCUGGGAAGACAGGAGCCUUGAGCGGCUGGGAGCCUACCUGUGAAAAGAGCCAACACAGAAGAAACUCUAGAGUCAGAGGGAGACAGAUUCUGAGGACAUUAUCUCGCACCUGGAUUCAGCCAUGCCUGAAGUCAACCAUCCCUGAGUUAUGUUAGCCAAUAAAAUUCUUUAUGAAAAAUUUUAUUUCUCUUAA